CUACACAUGCAGUCGAGCGGAUGAGUGGAGCUUGCUCCAUGAUUCAGCGGCGGACGGGUGAGUAAUGCCUAGGAAUCUGCCUAUUAGUGGGGGACAACGUUUCGAAAGGAACGCUAAUACCGCAUACUUCCUACGGGAGAAAGCAGGGGACCUUCGGGCCUUGCGCUAAUAGAUGAGCCUAGGUCGGAUUAGCUAGUUGGUGAGGUAAUGGCUCACCAAGGCCACGAUCCGUAACUGGUCUGAGAGGAUGAUCAGUCACACUGGAACUGAGACACGUUCCAGACUCCUACGGGAGGCAGCAGUGGGGAAUAAAGGACAAUGGGCGAAAGCCUGAUCCAGCCAUGCCGCGUGUGUGAAGAAGGACUUCGGAUUGUAAAGCACUUUAAGUUGGGAGGAAGGGCAUUAACCUAAUACGUUAGUGUUUUGACGUUACCGACAGAAUAAGCACCGUCUAACUUCGUGCCAGCAGCCGCGGUAAUACGAAGGGUGCAAGCGUUAAUCGGAAUUACUGGGCGUAAAGCGCGCGUAGGUGGUUUGUUAAGUUGGAUGUGAAAGCCCCGGGCUCAACCUGGGAACUGCAUCCAAAACUGGCAAGCUAGAGUAUGGCAGAGGGUGGUGGAAUUUCCUGUGUAGCGGUGAAAAGCGUAGAUAUAGGAAUGAACACCAGUGGCGAAGGCGACCACCUGGGCUAAUACUGACACUGAGGUGCGAAAGCGUGGGAGCAAACAUGAUUAGAUACCCUGGUAGUCCACGCCGUAAACGAUGUCGACUAGCCGUUGGGAUCCUUGAGAUCUUAGUGGCGCAGCUAACGCAUUAAGUCGACCGCCUGGGGAGUACGGCCGCAAGGUUAAACCUCAAAUGAAUUGACGUGGGCCCGCACAAGCGGUGGAUCAUGUGGUUUAAUUCGAAGCAACGCGAAGAACCUUACCAGGCCUUGACAUGCAGAGAACUUUCCAGAGAUGGAUUGGUGCCUUCGUGGAA
rnacentral:rRNA from 1 species